CCUACGGGGGGCAGCAGUGAGGAAUAUUGGUCAAUGGACGAGAGUCUGAACCAGCCAAGUAGCGUGAAGGAUGACUGCCCUAUGGGUUGUAAACUUCUUUUAUAUGGGAAUAAAAUGUUCCACGUGUGGGAUUUUGUAUGUACCAUAUGAAUAAGGAUCGGCUAACUCCGUGCCAGCAGCCGCGGUAAUACGGAGGAUCCGAGCGUUAUCCGGAUUUAUUGGGUUUAAAGGGAGCGUAGGUGGAUUGUUAAGUCAGUUGUGAAAGUUUGCGGCUCAACCGUAAAAUUGCAGUUGAAACUGGCAGUCUUGAGUACAGUAGAGGUGGGCUGAAUUCGUGGUGUAGCGGUGAAAUGCUUAGAUAUCACGAAGAACUCCGAUUGCGAAGGCAGUUCACUGGACUGCAACUGACACUGAGGCUCGAAAGUGUGGGUAUCAAACAGGAUUAGAUACCCUUGUAGUC
rnacentral:rRNA from 1 species